rnacentral:rRNA from 1 species
UUAUGUCAAUUGGUUUAUUCUUACGAGUCGGGUUGUUUGGAAACGCAGCCCAAAGUAGGUGGUAAACUCCAUCUAAAGCUAAAUAUAACCGUGAGACCAAUAGUAAACAAGUACCGUGAGGGAAAGUUGAAAAGCACUCUGAAGAGAGAGUUAAAAGAACGUGAAAACGAUUAAGUGGAAGCAAACAGGUCUAUUUGAAGAUAUAUAGUUUUCUAUAUAUCUGCUAAUACAUAUGUAGAGCUAUUAUUAUUCUAUUUUAAGAGGACUCUAUAUGAGAACCCUUAUGAUGGUUGAACGUUGUCUCUGUAUAUGAAUAUUAGCAUUUAUGAUGGUUACCUGUUUGACCCGUCUUGAAACACGGACCAAGAAGUUUAUUGUAUACGCGAGUCAUUAAGUGUAAAAACUUAUUGGCAUAAUGAAAGUAAAGGUUUACUUGUUAAACUGAUGUAUGAUAAAGUGUUUACGGACAUUUUA